AGAGUUUGAUCAUGGCUCAGAUUGAACGCUGGCGGCAGGCCUAACACAUGCAAGUCGAGCGGAUGAGGGGUGCUUGCAUCUCGAUUCAGCGGCGGACGGGUGAGUAAUGCCUAGGAAUCUGCCCGAUAGUGGGGGACAACGUUUCGAAAGGAACGCUAAUACCGCAUACGUCCUACGGGAGAAAGUGGGGGCUCUUCGGACCUCACGCUAUCGGAUGAGCCUAGGUCGGAUUAGCUAGUUGGUGGGGUAAAGGCUCACCAAGGCGACGAUCCGUAACUGGUCUGAGAGGAUGAUCAGUCACACUGGAACUGAGACACGGUCCAGACUCCUACGGGAGGCAGCAGUGGGGAAUAUUGGACAAUGGGCGAAAGCCUGAUCCAGCCAUGCCGCGUGUGUGAAGAAGGUCUUCGGAUUGUAAAGCACUUUAAGUUGGGAGGAAGGGCUGUAAGCGAAUACCUUGCAGCUUUGACGUUACCGACAGAAUAAGCACCGGCUAACUUCGUGCCAGCAGCCGCGGUAAUACGAAGGGUGCAAGCGUUAAUCGGAAUUACUGGGCGUAAAGCGCGCGUAGGUGGUUUGGUAAGUUGGAUGUGAAAGCCCCGGGCUCAACCUGGGAACUGCAUCCAAAACUGCCUGACUAGAGUACGGUAGAGGGUGGUGGAAUUUCCUGUGUAGCGGUGAAAUGCGUAGAUAUAGGAAGGAACACCAGUGGCGAAGGCGACCACCUGGACUGAUACUGACACUGAGGUGCGAAAGCGUGGGGAGCAAACAGGAUUAGAUACCCUGGUAGUCCACGCCGUAAACGAUGUCGACUAGCCGUUGGGCUCCUUGAGAGCUUAGUGGCGCAGCUAACGCAUUAAGUCGACCGCCUGGGGAGUACGGCCGCAAGGUUAAAACUCAAAUGAAUUGACGG
rnacentral:rRNA from 1 species